rnacentral:lncRNA from 1 species
UUUUAAGAUUUAUUAUAGUUCCUUCCAUGUAGUGGAAUGUCUGUGAUUAGAAUCUAUGCCUAACUAAUAACUAGCUCCGUAUUUUUUUAAGAUUUUAUUUAUUUAUUUGACAGACAGAGAUAACAAGUAGGCAGAGAGGCAGGCAGAGAGAGAGGAGGAAGUAGGCUCUCCUCAGAGUCAUUUUUGGUCAAAGAGUAGAAAUAAGAAAAUUCUGUUUGAUUUUACAGGGGUGAGAGGAUCUCUCCUGCUUAAUUGAGAUGAUGAAGGACCAAUAAGAGAGCAGUUUUUGAAAUCCAGUUCCAAGGAUAUAUUUGUUUUAGAUGUGAAUGCUGAUUAAUGACUUCAGGUGUUAAAUGCAGCAAGUCCAUCUAUGCCAAAAUGGCCAUUAUGAAUAGUUUGUGAGUGAUCAUGAAGAACGUGUGAUUUAGAGACUAGUACAGCAGAGUUUUACACACUGAAACAGUAUUGUGGGAUACACGAAAAGAAUAUGGGAGAAGAUGGGAUAUGAGGUAGGUGCUAAAAUAUUGUAUUUGGGUUUACAAACACAUGAAUGAUUAGAAUUAACUGAAAUUUUUAUUGUCUUAUGUUAGUCACUACAACAUUACAUCAUUAGUUUUUAUAUAGUGUUCCACUAUUCAUAG